UAAAUAAACAAAUAUUCUAUCACUCAUUGUAUCUGCAGGGUCCCUCUUGUGGUCAUCAAGUGUAUCGAUCUUCAAGCAGAAGUGGCUGUCUGCUUUGCUCUGCUGCAGGCAAAAGCAGAAGCCCGUCUGGACACAGUUCUAGUGCUCAGGGGAGACACCCGUCCCGUUCUCAAACACACCACAGCAUUCACUCAUUGUAGAGAUGGGAAGUCUGUACCGUAAAGCCAGAUUAGUGGCUAGCCAGUUCAGUUUUAGUUUAGUUUGCACUAAUUCUUGGUUUUAGGUUCCAUAAAGGAGCUCAGCUCAUCUCGGCUGCUCCCUGAUAUCAUGACAAUAAAGAGUGAUUGAAGUCCA